AAGUCGUAACAAGGUUUCCGUAGGUGAACCUGCGGAAGGAUCAUUAACACAAUUUUACUGUGAUAAAAUCCGUUGAAUUCUCACGAAUUCAAUGGUAUCCACCCCAUUAUUGACGAACUUUUCUUAGAUGUUUCAAAAAAACAUAGAGCUUUAUCUCUUUACGUUUUUUGAAAACAUUCUAAAAACCUUUUUCUUUACCCUAUAACAUUUUUUAACCCCUUUUACAACAUGUCUUAGACUGAAAUGAAAAUUUUCUAUCAAAAAAUUGACAAAAACAACUUUUAACAACGGAUAUCUUGGCUCUC
rnacentral:misc_RNA from 1 species